rnacentral:rRNA from 1 species
AUCGAACGCUGGCGGAAUGCUUUACACAUGCAAGUCGAGCGGCAGCACGGGGGCAACCCUGGUGGCGAGCGGCGAACGGGUGAGUAAUACAUCGGAACAUGCCCAGUCGUGGGGGAUAACACUUCGAAAGAAGUGCUAAUACCGCAUACGUCCUGAGGGAGAAAGCGGGGGAUCUUCGGACCUCGCGCGAUUGGAGUGGCCGAUGUCAGAUUAGCUAGUUGGUGGGGUAAAGGCCUACCAAGGCAACGAUCUGUAGCUGGUCUGAGAGGAUGAUCAGCCACACUGGGACUGAGACACGGCCCAGACUCCUACGGGAGGCAGCAGUGGGGAAUUUUGGACAAUGGGGGCAACCCUGAUCCAGCCAUUCCGCGUGAGUGAAGAAGGCCUUCGGGUUGUAAAGCUCUUUCGGCAGGAACGAAACGGCGAGCUCUAACAUAGCUUGCUAAUGACGGUACCUGAAGAAGAAGCACCGGCUAACUGCGUGCCAGCCGCCGCCGUAAAAC